GUGAGGAAUAUUGCGCAAUGGAGGCAACUCUGACGCAGCCAUGCCGCGUGCAGGAAGAAGGCGCUACGCGUUGUAAACUGCUUUUAACCGGGAAGAAACCCCAGGACGUGUCCUGGGUUGACGGUACCGGAGGAAUAAGCACCGGCUAACUUCGUGCCAGCAGCCGCGGUAAUACGAAGGGUGCAAGCGUUAUCAGGAUUCAUUGGGUUUAAAGGGUGCGUAGGCGGAGCGUUAAGUCAGUGGUGAAAUCCUGCAGCUUAACUGUAGACUUGCCAUUGAUACUGGCGCUCUUGAGUGCGCUUGAAGUGGGCGGAAUGUGCCGUGUAGCGGUGAAAUGCUUAGAUAUGGCACAGAACACCAAUUGCGAAGGCAGCUCACUAAGGCGAUACUGACGCUGAGGCACGAAAGCGUGGGGAUCGAACAGGAUUAGAUACCCGGGUAGUCC
rnacentral:rRNA from 1 species